rnacentral:rRNA from 1 species
AUUGAACGCUGGCGGCAGGCUUAACACAUGCAAGUCGAGCGGAGAGAGGUAGCUUGCGACUGAUCUUAGCGGCGGGCGGGUGAGUAAUGCUUAGGAAUCUGCCUAUUAGUGGGGGACAACAUUUCGAAAGGAAUGCUAAUACCGCAUACGUACUACGGGAGAAAGCAGGGGAUCUGCGGACCUGGCUCUAAUAGAUGAGCCUAAGACGGAUUAGCUAGUGGGUGGGGUAAAGGCCUACCAAGGCGACGAUCUGUAGCGGGUCUGAGAGGAUGAUCCGCCACACUGGGACUGAGACACGGCCCAGACUCCUACGGGGGGCAGCAGUGGGGAAUAUUGGACAAUGGGCGGAAGCCUGAUCCAGCCAUGCCGCGUGUGUGAAGAAGGCCUUAUGGUUGUAAAGCACUUUAAGCGAGGAGGAGGCUACUUUAGUUAAUACCUAGAGAUAGUGGACGUUACUCGCAGAAUAAGCACCGGCUAACUCUGUGCCAGCAGCCGCCGUAA